UACGUAGGGUGCGAGCGUUAAUCGGAAUUACUGGGCGUAAAGCGUGCGCAGGCGGUGAGCUGUGUCCGAUGUGAAAGCCCGGGGCUCAACCCCGGAAUGUCUCUCGAAACUGUCGAGCUAGAGUGCAGAAGAGGCAACUGGAAUUCCCAGUGUAGCGGUGAAAUGCGUAGAUAUUGGGAGGAACACCAGCGGCGAAGGCGGCACUCUGGGCUGGUACUGACGCUGAGGAGCGAAAGCGUGGGUAGCGAACAGG
rnacentral:rRNA from 1 species